ensembl:lncRNA
GGAGGGCUGGGUGCGUUCGUGGGAAAACCCCCAUGGUGUCCCAUCAGCGGACAUAUCCUGGCUAAAAGAGGACACAGAACGAGGCCUGUUCACCGCUGUUCAGAUAUUUAAACACAAAUCUGGUCAGUUAAAGAGGCGACGGGUGAUCAAAUCCGACCGGAUGUGGUUUUAUCCACCUGAACCGCCUCGCUAUGUGAAGGGAGCUGCGCCAACACACCUUUUUUUCCGGAGCCGUGUAUUUGUGUGGCGUCCGGUUGGAGUUUGGCGAUACUCCCUGAAGUGCCCUCGAGGGGAUGACUACGUCGGGCACGGGAGGGAUGUGCACCUCUACAAGUCUGGCUUUCACCACCGGGUACGUCACAUUUGAUGUGUCCGGCUGGUACACAUCGGUCACUGAGGUCCUGUGCUGUGGACCCUGCACAAAGGCCACCAGGAGCGGAGGAGGUGGCACAGUGGGCCGAUGGCUCGCAUGGGACCGUGCUAUUCGAUCUCAACUUAGUGAGGCUCAUCAAGCUCGGUUCCCUGCCGUCCGCACCAGCAAAGGCUAUCGAUGAGAUGUGGGCAGGCCAGCUGGAGUGCAUCCAGGAUCCACCAGGCAUGAACAUGUAUAGGGUGGCGCGUAGCACAACUAUCAAUAAUGUGGACGUGCCCCAUUACAAAUGUCUGCGUGGAAGCAACAGCCUGGAAGGAUUCCACAAAUCGCUGCCACACAUGAUUCCAGGGCCCCAUUGUGCAGCACGGCCCUAUCAGGUUUACCUGAUGAGUGGCAUUGCUCGGUGGAAUUCGGACAGGAGUUUGGACGCCGUGUUUGGUGGCAAAGGACAGAAUCACAGGAAAUACUCUGCGCCGCUCAUUCACCGCCUCAACACCCGCUGUCAGCAGCUGUUUGGCGAGACUGGAGGAGAAUUUCCGGGCCCCCGCCAAUGUUGCUUCCAACGAGUUGCUUGGGUUGGAAUAUUUAUUCAGCCAACGCACGGGUGUAUCCGAACCCUUUUCCCUGGUGGACAUCAUCAAUGAUGGACCUGGUCCAGAGGAGGAGGUGGUUCAGCACGGGCAGCCCGAUCCAGAGGCUGACGAGGCGUACCAGAGCGACGGGGAGGCUGGUGGCAACGUGUUGGAUGCCAUCCUGCCCCACAUUAAUCUCACCAGCGACGAAACUGCAACUCUUCACCCUCCAGCCUCUGGUACAAACCAAAGACCAAGUCACAGCAUAUGCAGCGAGAGCGAACUGGUCCAAAACCGGGCUUUUUAAAGAGCCCAGCCAGCUGCGACCACUGACGAGGGGGUGGAUGGCUGCAGUCCAAACCCGCUUCCUGGCUUUGAAAAGCUAUAAAAGUUCUGUUCUGGUGGCAAUCAGCCCGACAGAGGACAAGCUGACGCUUUCCACUGAGCAGAGGAACGAGGUCCUUGAAUCCCGGAAUGCUGUGGAGGAGCACGACAAGCAGCCGCAGCAGUUCAACCAGCUGUACAGAAGGAUCCGAUCCUCUGCAAGGCCGGCAUUCCUCUGCCAAAGAUCAACGUCAAAACUGUGCAGGACUUCACCCGGCGUCAGGAGCGCCUCCUGAACAUGAAUCCCACAAAACAGUCCUCUACUGUAACGAAGAUCACCUCCAUUUCAUCUGCUGACCUCCCUCGAGCACUACACCAGCCGUCAGUCCUCCACCACUCUACCCUCUGAUGGAGUACGGGGCCAUCCCCAGCACAGCAGGGACUACGGUGUUGAAGGGAAGGACGGACAUGAUGAUGGCUCUCUUCCGGCCUCUACCACCACUGCAACUCCUGCAACCGCUGGCGGCUGUAAAAAAAAAAUCCUGCCACCUCCACCAUCUCCAGACCUGUACCCUCCAUGUCCAGCUCCGCAGCCGACACGGAGUGCGCUGGCCCCUCCACUCGGCCAAUAUUGCCUGCAAAUCCUCCUGCAUCACUGCCAUCUCUGUCCACAAUGCCUACUGCUUGUGAUUUAAGUUCACCAUCCUGGGCAAGAUCCACGCAGUACAAGCGAAAGAGUAUGGAACAUCCCUCUGCAGUUGGAGUCGAGGUGUCGCGGGUGCACAAACUCCCUCUCUGUACAUGAC